GGCGAGAUAGCUCAGUUGGUAGAGCAGACGGCUCAUAUCCGUCCGGUCAUAGGUCCGAGUCCUAUUCUCGCUA
rnacentral:tRNA from 1 species